AUUUUUUUUUUGCUUUUCUCAGUAACAUUUCUUGACAGCUACACAUCCUUUCGGUCCCAUAGCAUUGAAGGCUCUUCUCGCAGUAAAAGGAUGGACAGAAACGUGGGCGUUUUCAGAUAUGGGGCAUUAGUUGAUUUUCUCCUCAGCUUUAAAUUCUGUUUAUCUGAUGGUGACAGUUUUGGUGGUCUACCAGGUCUUGGAGUUUGGAGUCCCAUUUUCACUCUGUCUUUUAGAAAUGUUUUGAACUCCUUAUGUAAGUGGAUUAUCUUAUAUCUGCUUUCCUCAGAAAGAUCUCCUGAAGAAUGAAGAACUGAUACUUCAGAUGAUAGCCAUUUAAACUAGAUUAAACAAAAUUAAAUACAUGAAGACUGUUCUCUGACUUUGGCACAGCACUUUAUCUAUAAUAGUUACUAAAUGAUAAGUGUAAAGAUACAUAACUGAAUCAUAAAGCUAGGGUUCAGGCCACAGAGGUUGUGCGGUUCUGUCAUAUUUCCACUCCAGUGUAGAUGUGUGCGGUAUAAACACUGCUCUGGAGCUUAUCAGCAAGUCCAUAUUGAUAUAGUGUAAUGUGAUAUAGUUGUCAAAUUUGUCUUUCACUUUCUUCACAUUUGGCAGUAACUGUGUUGAUAUGGUAUGUUUUAUGCAUGUGGAAAUGAAACACACAUUUGAAUCAAGUUAAGUCAAUGCAUAAAUGUUUUCAGUGUUUUUACCAUAUAUUGAUGGGUUUUUAAAGGGACCAACAUGCCAGGACAAAUAAGAUGCAUUUCAUAAAGCGUGAUGUGGAAAGGCUGAUAGUGAAACACAUCACAGCUCUUUUUGGCUUAUUGACUCUGGCUCUGGUAGCGCCUGUCUGACUGGAGGGAGUGGAGUGAGUGGUCUACGGGAAGCCCCCCGGAGCCCUGGCAAGAGUGUGAGGCCGGCAAGGAGAGUCAGACGCAGAGGGAGAUUCCAGCUCUAUGGGUCACUGCUGCUGCACUAGCCAUGCAGCCCAUUGAUCUCCAGCCACUCAGGGGCCGUGGCACCAGUCCAAUUAAAGUGUGAAGUCCUCAGGGAGCACACACAGCGCUGCUACCAUGCCAGCAUGAGCAGGCACCAUUUCAUGCUGGAACAGCAUGAUCUCCACUAUAAUUCAGAGCCAUUGGAAUGGAUGGGACUUUGACACGCAAACAAAAAAUUUCUCUAAAGUAAAUGUUUCUGCUCGAAGCCAACUGUGAUUUGGAAUAGCAUUAUCAAAGCCAACUGUGCUCCGCAGGCCCCGACAGCUCAGAGAUUCAUGCUUUGCUGCGCACCCAGAGUAGUCCUACAAGCACAGUCUUAUACUUUAGUGAAAUUAUUACUGCUGAUGCUCUGUCCAAACUGGAUCUCUAUGAUUUACAUUACCCUGCUUGGGCUACGAUACUAAUCAGAGACCACAGUUUCAUAGAAAUGCUCUUUGCUAGUGCUCUAGAUCAAAGCAGACAUUACAUUUAGCAGUGAAGAUCUAAGAGAGUUUGAUUAGAGGUAAUCAAAGCCAAAGACCCCGAGCACACAGGAGUUACUCUUUAGAUUAAGCUCUGUCAGUAGAUUUACAGCAUGUUUAAUGUGCGUGUAUCUCAGUGAUCAGCGCUGAGGAAAAGCAAUGGCUGCUUCUUAUUGGAUUUGUUUCAUGUUGCUAAGACAACAGAGGUUAAAAUGCUGGAAGAUGUGAUAGUGCAGCUCAGCCAGAGAGAGAGAGAGGAAUCGACCAACAGGCUCAACUUCUUCUCAACUGUUUGAUUUUUUUUCUCUGUAAUUCCAUCUGAAUAAGGUUAAGAGGACCCUGUAAAAAAAAGAAUGAGAUCUCAUAUUGACCUGCUGCAAGUCUGUAUAAACUUUGGAGAAAAGCACUUAUAAGCAACAGCCUGAAAUUGCUUUGGCAACAUCAGUGCUGUGUUAUUUCAGGGUAACUAUUCCUCAUCUCUCUGGGACACAAUCCACACAGGUUAGUUCAUCCCAUCUGCCUUAGAAAGUGAACUGGAAUUGGAAGAUCAGCUUGAUCUGUUUGUGUCGAUUUACCUCCAGCGACAAAAGAUGAAAAUGAUGGUUUGUUUAUAAAAUGUCCAGGGAAUUAGCAAUUAACUCUGCAGUAAUGCAAUGAAAAAAAAAUCUCUAAAUCUAGAUUAAGUAAAUCUCAGUAUUUUAUGUGAAACAAUAAGUAUGUUUCUGUUUCAGGGGCCUAUUGUUUGACAUUCUAUUUGUAAUUUCUGUUGUAUAAAUUCAUAUUGAUUUCCUGAUUCUUAGAUCUCUUUUUAGAUAAACAAAAACGUUAAUCAGUUCCUGUCCUCAUCAAGUAGAAUUCUACAGAGUUUUCUACAUUUCUGUAUAAUGGCUGAAAUGUAAACAAAGUCAUUCAGAGUGGCUUAAUGAAAAAUGCACCAUUCUAAAGAAAUUUGUGGGGUCAGAUUUCUUUACAAUGGUGGUGAUAGGAACCAGAGGUUGUGAUGUCUGUAGCCAAAAUAUAUACAUUUUGUUUACUUUGCAGAAUGACCAGAAAACUUACACACGUCUUCUGAGUUUUUAUAUUUAAUGUUCAUAAUGAUAAAUCUGCUCUCCACUAUGAAUGGGUGUAUUUAAAAAAUAAGUUUUACACCAAUGUCUCAGGCAUCAGGCUGAGAAUCUUAAGCACUUCAUGUAAAAACUUUCUUUGAGGGAACUUUUGGUGCCAUUAAGCUCUUUGAAUGUCUGGUUCCAAUCACAUCGAUUUUUAUUUCAGUACUUUGCAUAAAGUUGGCAAAGUUGAAUUAAGGGUCACUCAUUUCACAUCAAUCAUGUUUCUUCAACAUUUGUUUUCUUACCAAUCGCAAAAAACUGAUUGCAAUCGUGUUCUGAAAUUUCAGCGUAUUUCCCUUGCUGUAUAGUGCAGAUACUGUUCUUGGCAAGCAAUGCUACUGUAAUAGUCAGCAGGGUUAUCUGUCACUGCCCUCCCUCCUGCAUACAUGGCCCUGACUGUCUUUAACCCAGCUGAUAACGCUUUAGCCCUCUCGUAAAGAAUAGGCCUCUUUUAAGUGAUCCAUUAACAUCCUGUCCCCAAGAGUCUGCCUCUGUCUACUGAAACUAACCAGGAAACCUUGAAGGAAAACAGGAUGGCAGACAAGCUCUGAGAUCAAAGACCCCCUUUCGAUUCCCCCUGCUCAUUCCCCAGACAUCUCCAGUCUUCCUCCCUAAUGUUUUCAAUUACAGCCUUGGAGAAUGUUUCAGAUUUUAACCUUAUCAAUUAGUCAGCAAUCCCUGUGUUUGGUUCUAAUGGCCCUAACUUAGCAGUAAAGAUUUAGUACCUGAGAGGCUGAUAUCAGUACAGGAAGGAGGGGUCUUCAUGUAGAAGAGAUUUACUGCCGUCUGCCCUGCAGAACUGCUCUCCAGCCCUGCACUCUCUGCUCUACGUUCGGCCUGCUGUAUCCAAUUGAUUUUGCCUCUUUUUUGGAACUCUCUGCACACAAAGAUUUACGACAAAAAGAGGCAUAAUGAGACUGAUAAAAGUUCUGCUUGCUUGUAAAUAAAGGUUCCUGUGAGUGCUGGUAUUGCAUAUUCUACUGGAUAAACUUGGGAAAAUACGAUUAAUAAUGUUUGACGUCUUCCCUUGUAUAAAGUUAGAAGCUGGCUCCCAUCCCUACGUUUGAAUUAGGUGAAUGACCCAUUAUUUCAUUCUGUAAUUUAGCAGUCAAGUUGCUGCAGCAGAACUGAUAACCUUUACCCUCCGUGUACAAAAGCUUUUUUUUUUUUUAAAUCAAACUACAUUCUGUUAUAGCAGCAGAACUGAAUUCCAAUAUUCCAAAGAAAGUCCUCCAGCUACAAUCACAAAAAUAUCUCCAAGCCUGGACUCUUAAAAAUAAAGGUGCCAAAAAGGGCUCCUUGCCAUCGAAGAACCGUUUAAGGUUGCCAGAGCAUACAGAUAAAAAAAUAAAUAAAUAAAACGACAACAACAAAAACAUUUAGUUGGUGUGUUUGAUUUUUGGGAGAGUCUCUUCUUUCACUCUGGAUCCUUUAGCUGUUCAGUUCUUUUUCUGGAUAUUCUUGUGGACAACUGAAAACAUCUGAAUGUUAGUAUUUCUUGCCGAAUGUUUCGGUGUGCUCCAGCCUUAAAAGAAUCUUUCAGUUAAUGGUUGUGUAAUGAACUAUUUUUACGCUUUAGCUUUGAGAAUAGGAAGAACUUCUUUAGAAGUUUCUUUUUAUAAAAUAAACUCUAUAUAAUGUAAAGAUCACCUACAUAAUAAAAAGGACAAUUAGGAACAAGAGUGUAAAAUAACAUACGGUGGAAAGAAAGAAGAACACAAGAAAAAUACAGGAGAUAUACAUUUGUUUUGACAUGCAAUGGCAUUUAAAAUAAUAUUGACUUAUUUAUUUAGUUAGUUAAUUAGUAAGUUGCAGUAUUUUUUUUUAGAAGAAUAACAGCAUUUUCUGAGUGGACCAGUAGUUUUAAAACUUUUUUUUCUGGGAACAUUAAGAAAAAAAUAAUAUUUUCCUUCCUUUUAAAGUUUACAUUUCAAAGCUAUUUAGUUCUCUUAUGAUGAUCUGCAGUAUCAUACGGCUUCCUGUAUUCAGCUACACCCAUCGCCAUGCUCAAACAGUGAGCUGAGAGAUCUUCAGGAGGUUCCAAGGUGCCAAUUGCUGGUUGUUGUGGCCGGCUCGGUGAGGCACUUGGGGGGGAGGCAGGGAGCUGGGGGGGUGGGGCUAGGCCGGGCUGAGAGGGGUCAGGGGGCUCCAGCUGGCAGGCAGGGGCCACAGUGGGACCUGGAGACGGGCCUUAGAGACGCCACCGUGGGGGAGACGCUUUCACCUGACUGAGCGCUGGCCAUGUGUCCACCCCAAACUGCCUCCACAACUCCACCACAGGGACCCCUGAAAGAUCCCUGAGAUGAAGAGCAAAACACAGAGUGGGCGUUCCUCUUUGACUUAUUGCUCUGCUGUUAGUGCCAUUCUACUCACUCUCUUUCAGAACAGACAAACUGCGAGCUCCAUUAUUAGCUGUAGUUUAGAAGCUCAAAGCCUUUGGCUGUGCUUUACUUUGAUGGCUGUCAUUAUAAUUAAAUGCAUACUGUGACCCUACAACAUGACACGGUGCUCAAUCACCCAUUUAUUCAGCCAGUCGACAAUUAAUUAGACUCAUAAUGCACAGCAUAAUUACAGACAUAUUUGAAUCAAUUGCUGAUAACAUACAGUGGAAUGAAUUAGCUCUGAAUCCUGGGAGAAAUCAUGUUCUGAAAGCGCAGAGGAGUUUUCCACCCACUAGAACAAAUCAAGGAAAUCAAGGAAAGCAGCCAGAGCUGUAACAGUCUCAUGUAGGACUCAUUUGAUUCCUGGAAAAUGUCUGUUCAUCAUCUGUCAACACUUUGAUGAAAAAUGGUGCCCUCAAAUAUGGCAUAUUUUUGUUAGCCAAAAAAACAUAACUUGUGUUUAUCAUUGAUGAACUUCAGCCACAGAGAGAACAAUUCACAUUCCACCGCUUAAGUGCAAUAAUGUGUAAUAACUGUAUCCGCAGUUUUUUUUUUUUUAAAUGUCUGGAAAAUUAGGAUGCUGUAUGUCACUCAUGUUCUUGACUGAGGUUUAUGCUUUAUCACUGUAACCUAUGAGAAAUAAAGUCUCUGAUGACACUGUCAUGUCACAACUCAA